UCUCAAUGGAGCCGACCUUGAAAUACCACCCUGAUCUGUUUGAGGUUCUAACCUUGGCCCGUUAUCCGGGCUGGGGACAGUGCAUGGUAGGCAGUUUGACUGGGGCGGUCUCCUCCCAAAGUGUAACGGAGGAGUACGAAGGUACGCUAGGUACGGUCGGAAAUCGUGCUGAUAGUGCAAUGGCAUAAGCGUGCUUGACUGUGAGACUGACAAGUCGAACAGGUGCGAAAGCAGGUCAUAGUGAUCCGGUGGUUCUGUAUGGAAGGGCCAUCGCUCAACGGAUAAAAGGUACUCUGGGGAUAACAGGCUGAUACCGCCCAAGAGUUCAUAUCGACGGCGGUGUUUGGCACCUCGAUGUCGGCUCAUCUCAUCCUGGGGCUGUAGCCGGUCCCAAGGGUAUGGCUGUUCGCCAUUUAAAGAGGUACGUGAGCUGGGUUUAAAACGUCGUGAGACAGUUUGGUCCCUAUCUGCCGUGGGCGCUGGAUAUUUGAAGGGGGCUGCUCCUAGUACGAGAGGACCGGAGUGGACGAACCUCUGGUGUACCGGUUGUCACGCCAGUGGCAUCGCCGGGUAGCUAUGUUCGGAAGAGAUAACCGCUGAAAGCAUCUAAGCGGGAAACUCGCCUUAAGAUGAGAUAUCCCCGGGGCUUCGAGCCCCUUGAAGGGUCGUUCAAGACCAGGACGUUGAUAGGUCAGGUGUGCACGUACAGUAAUGUACUGAGCUAACUGAUACUAAUUGCCCGUAAGGCUUGAUCCU
rnacentral:ncRNA from 1 species